AAGAUUUUAGGUUAUUUAAACCUUAAGCCUUCAAAGUUUAAAUUAUAAAAUUUUUUAUAAAUCUUA
rnacentral:tRNA from 1 species